GACUACUGGGGUAUCUAAGCCUGUUUGCUACCCACGCUUUCGCACCUCAGCGUCAGGGUCAGUCCAGAAAGCCGCCUUCGCCACUGGUAUUCCUCCUGAUUUCUACGCAUUUCACCGCUACACCAGGAAUUCUGCUUUCCUCUCCUGCCCUCAAGAAACCCAGUUUCAAAUGCCACCCCGUGGUUGAGCCACGGUCUUUCACACCUGACUUAGGUUCCCGCCUACGUGCUCUUUACGCCCAGUAAUUCCGGACAACGCUCGCCCCCUACGUCUUACCGCGGCUGCUGGCACGUAGUUAGCCGGGGCUUCCUCUUAGGGUACCGUCAUUUCACAGGCAUAUUACUCCUAUGAACAUUCGUCCCCUAAAACAGAGCUUUACAACCCUAAGGCCUUCUUCGCUCACGCGGCGUCGCUGCGUCAGGGUUUCCCCCAUUGCGCAAUAUUCCCCACUGCAGCCCCCCGUAGG
rnacentral:rRNA from 1 species